CAUUAAACAAAGGUCUCUAGCCCAAGGUACACAACCGAUUCAUACCACCAAUAAGAAAAAUAGAAAAGAAAAGUAAACGGAAACAAUAAAUAAACCAAAACCAAAAAACCCCCCACGAGACCCUAGAAACCAAAUCGACAGAGGAAAGCCAGAUAAAAUCUCCCCAAAACUAAAUCAACACAGCUACAUGAACUUAAAACAAUAUAUUUCAGAGAGAAAGAGCUUCGAUGAUUUUCAUGGACUACAAACUAAACUUUCUCCAUUCCUCAAAGCUGUUAAAAACUACCCAUUUCUCAGCAUAGCUAGAUACCCCAGCUCGUAUCCACAGCUCGAUUGACCAUCUCUGGGGCUUCUUCCACCCAGUACUUAAGCUCUUGAAAUCGACGAUCUUCUCCCACUAGCACAUGCGCCACUGCGUUGGCUUCUCUGCGGACAAAUCGAUAACGAGUCUUAUUCUAGAUGGACAUUUUGAAAUCCCAGCUCCACUUCAAAAAUAAUCGCCCGUUCACACGCACUGGCCUCUGCUAAGAAGAUGAGGGGGUCACACAGCUGGACCAUACGCCCUAAGGCUGACCGUGUGUCAAACAUGGCCUAGACACACGCUUGUGUGUCUACUGGUGUGGGCAAUAUAAGGCUAUUUACCAAACCUCAUUGCCACCAUUGCAUACCUAUUUUCACGCAAAUACCAGCCAAUACCAAAACAAGCAUAAUUUCCAAAAUCAAAUCAGCCACAAUAGACAUUCAUUCAACCAUGUAAAUGCAACUUUUAUAAAAGCCAUCAUUCAUGGCUUAAUAUUAAGUGUAGGAUCUAUCCCAAGCCAACACAUUUGGCCAAAUCUCCAAGACUCAAAAUAAUAAGUUCUAAUCCUAUACAUGCCAUAUUCAAAAGUAUAAAUUCAACUAUACCCAAUGUUUCGGCUGAUA